GACGAACGCUGGCGGCGCGCCUAACACAUGCAAGUCGAGCGAUGAAAUUUUAACCGAUCUCUUCGGAGAGAAGAUAAAAUGGAUUAGCGGCGGACGGGUGAGUAACACGUGAGAAACCUGCCUUUCACAAGGGGAUAGCCUCGGGAAACCGGGAUUAAUACCCUAUGACACAUUUCCUUCGCAUGGAAGAAAUGUUAAAACUCCGGUGGUGAAAGAUGGUCUCGCGCCUGAUUAGCUAGUUGGUGGGGUACCGGCCCACCAAGGCCAUGAUCAGUAACCGGCAUGAGAGAGUGAACGGUCACAUGGGAGCUAAGACACAGUCCAGACUCCUACGCGAGGCAGCAGUGGGGAAUAUUGCACCAUGGAGGAAACUCUGAUGCAGCGACGACGCGUGAGCGAUGAAGUCUUUCGAGUAGUAAAGCUCUGUCCUAUGGGAAGAUAAUGACGGUACCAAAGGAGGAAGCCCCGGCUAACUACGUG
rnacentral:rRNA from 1 species